rnacentral:rRNA from 1 species
UACAGAGGGCCCAAGCGUUGUUCGGAUUCAUUGGGCGUAAAGGGUGCGUAGGCGGCUUUCUAAGUCGGAUGUGAAAACUCUGGGCUCAACCCAGAGCCUGCAUCCGAAACUGGAGAGCUAGGGUGCUGGAGGGGAAAGCGGAAUUCCUGGUGUAGCGGUGAAAUGCGUAGAUAUCAGGAGGAACACCGGUGGCGAAGGCGGCUUUCUGGACAGAUACCGACGCUGAGGCACGAAAGCUAGGGGAGCAAACAGG